UACGGAGGGUGCGAGCGUUGUCCGGAUUUAUUGGGUUUAAAGGGUGCGUAGGUGGGUGACUAAGUCUGGUUUGAAAGCAGGUGGCUCAACCAUCUGAUGUGGCUGGAAACUGGUUAUCUUGAAUGGGUUGGCGGUAGCCGGAACGGGUCAUGUAGCGGUGAAAUGCAUAGAUAUGACCCAGAACACCGAUUGCGAAGGCAGGCUACUACGACUCUAUUGACACUGAGGCACGAGAGCAUGGGUAGCGAACAGG
rnacentral:rRNA from 1 species